rnacentral:rRNA from 1 species
AGGGUAUGAUACUGGCUCAGAACGAACGCUGGCAGCGUGCCUUACACAUGCAAGUCGAGCGCGAAAGUUGGCUUCGGCCAGCGAGUAGAGCGGCGUAAGGGUGAGUAACGCGUGAGUUAACUACCCUGGGGAGUGGGAUAACGGCGGCCGGCUAGUCCGGCCCUCUGGCGAAAGUGCCGCUAAUACCACAUGCUGAACUUCCGGCACCUACUUACUCGUAAGCAGGUCGCCGGGAAUUUGAAAGGUCGCAGGACUUGUCCUGUUGUCCUCCCCAGGAGGUGCUCGCGUCCUAUUAGCUAGUUGGUGGGGUAAUGACCUACCAAGGCGACGAUGGGUAGCCGGCGUGAGAGCGUGGCCGGCCACACUGGAACUGAGACACUGUCCAGAGCCCUACGGGGUGCUGCAGUGGGGAAUAUUGCACAAUGCGCGAAAGCGUGAUGCAGCGACGCUGCGUGUGGGAAUAAGGCCUUCGGGUUGUAAACCACUGUCAGGGGUUAUGAAGUCCAUAGGGAGAAAUUUCUAUGGUUGACAAAGGCCCCAAAGGAAGCCAUGGCUAACUCCGUGCCAGCAGCCGCGGUAAUACGGAGAUGGCAAGCGUUGUUCGGAAUCACUGGGCGUAAAGCGCGCGUAGGCGGUCGGGUAAGUUGGAUGUUGAAUCACCGGGCUCAACCCGGUAACGCCGUCCAAUACUGCCCGACUAGAGGUCGGUAGGGGAGAGUGGAACUCCUGGUGGAGUGGUGAAAUGCGUAGAUAUCAGGAGGAACGUCGGCGGCGAAGGCGACUCUCUGGGCCGAUUCUGACGCUGAGGUGCGAAAGCUAGGGUAGCGAACGGGAUUAGAUACCCCGGUAGUCCUAGCCGUAAACGAUGGGUACUUGGUAGUGGGACUAUGUUUCACUGCCGGAGCUAACGCGUUAAGUACCCCGCCUGGGUAGUACGACCGCAAGGUUAAAACUCAAAGUAAUUGACGGGGGCUCGCACAAGCGGUGGAGCACGCGCCUUAAUUCGAGCCUACGCGAGGAACCUUACCAGGGUUUGACAUGCUAGUGGUACGGACCCGAAAGGGCGAGGACCACGGGUAAGCCGUGGAGCUAGCACAGGUGUUGCAUGGCUGUCGUCAGCUCGUGUCGUGAGAUGUUAGGUUAAGUCCUAUAACGAGCGAAACCCCUGUCUCUAGUUGCUAGCGGGUAAUGCCGAGGACUCUAGAGAGACUGCCGGUGAUAAACCGGAGGAAGGUGGGGACGACGUCAAGUCCUCAUGGCCCUUAUGCCCUGGGCUGGACGCAUGCUACAAUGGCCGGUACAAUGGGAAGCAAUACCGUAAGGUGGAGCGAAGCCAUAAAAGCGGUCCCAGUCCGGAUCGGGGGCUGAAAUUCGCCCCCGUGAAUGUCGGAAUCGCUAGUAAUCGCGGAUCAGCCAUGCCGCGGUGAAUAUGUGCCCGAGCCUUGUACACGCCGCCCGUCAAGCCACGGGAGCUGGGAGCACGUUAAGUCGUGGAUCUAACCUUCGGGAGGAUCGCGCCCACCGUGAACCCGGCAACUGGGACUAAGUCGUAACAAGGUA